UACAGAGGGUGCGAGCGUUAAUCGGAAUUACUGGGCGUAAAGCGCACGUAGUCGGCUUUGCAAGUCGGGUGUGAAAUCCCUGGGCUCAACCCAGGAACUGCGUCCGAUACUGGUUGGCUUGAAUCCGGGAGAGGGAUGUGGAAUUCCAGGUGUAGCGGUGAAAUGCGUAGAUAUCUGGAGGAACACCGGUGGCGAAGGCGACAGCCUGGACCGGUAUUGACGCUGAGGCGCGAAAGCCAGGGGAGCAAACGGG
rnacentral:rRNA from 1 species